rnacentral:rRNA from 1 species
GACAGAGGUGGCGAGCGUUGCUAGGAUUUACUGGGCUUAAAGGGCGCGUAGGUGGCCUUGUAAGUCAAAGGUGGAAUUCCACAGCUCAACUGUGGAACUGCCUUUGAUACUGCAAGGCUUGAGUCAGGUAGAGGAGGGCGGAAUUCCCGGUGUAGCGGUGAAAUGCGUAGAUAUCGGGAGGAAGGCCGGUGGCGAAGGCGGCCCUCUGGGCCUGUACUGACACUGAGGCGCGAAAGCGUGGGGAGCAAACAGG